rnacentral:rRNA from 1 species
GAUGAACGCUAGCGGCAGGCUUAACACAUGCAAGUCGAGGGGCAGCAUUAUCUGCUUGCAGAUAGAUGGCGACCGGCGCACGGGUGCGUAACGCGUAUGCAACCUACCCUAUACAGGAGAAUAGCCCGGAGAAAUUCGGAUUAAUGCUCCAUAGUAUUGUCUUUCGCAUGUUAGAACAAUUAAAGAUUUAUCGGUAUAGGAUGGGCAUGCGUUAGAUUAGCUAGUUGGAGAGGUAACGGCUCACCAAGGCUACGAUCUAUAGGGGGCCUGAGAGGGUGAUCCCCCACACUGGUACUGAGACACGGACCAGACUCCUACGGGAGGCAGCAGUGAGGAAUAUUGGUCAAUGGAGGCAACUCUGAACCAGCCAUGCCGCGUGAAGG